rnacentral:rRNA from 1 species
CCUACGGGGGGCAGCAGUGAGGAAUAUUGGUCAAUGGGCGGAAGCCUGUACCAGCCAAGUAGCGUGCAGGAUGACGGCCCUACGGGUUGUAAACUGCUUUUAUACGGGAAUAACGCGCCUUACGUGUAGGGCUUUGCAUGUACCGUAUGAAUAAGGACCGGCUAAUUCCGUGCCAGCAGCCGCGGUAAUACGGAAGGUCCGGGCGUUAUCCGGAUUUAUUGGGUUUAAAGGGAGCGUAGGCCGCAUGUCAAGCGUGCUGUGAAAUGUCCGGGCUCAACCCGGGCCUUGCAGCGCGAACUGGCGUGCUUGAGUCCGCGGAAAGCAGGCGGAAUUCGUCGUGUAGCGGUGAAAUGCUUAGAUAUGACGAAGAACCCCGAUUGCGAAGGCAGCUUGCUGCAGCGGAACUGACGCUGAUGCUCGAAAGCGCGGGUAUCGAACAGGAUUAGAUACCCGAGUAGUC